rnacentral:tRNA from 1 species
GGGGCUAUAGUGUAGUCUGGUUAGCAUUUGAGGUUUGGGACCUUAAGACCCAGGUUCAAAUCCUGGUAGCCCCA